rnacentral:rRNA from 1 species
CCUACGGGGGGCAGCAGUGGGGAAUAUUGCACAAUGGGCGCAAGCCUGAUGCAGCCAUGCCGCGUGUGUGAAGAAGGCCUUCGGGUUGUAAAGCACUUUCAGCGGGGAGGAAGGCGUUAAGGUUAAUAACCUUGGCGAUUGACGUUACCCGCAGAAGAAGCACCGGCUAACUCCGUGCCAGCAGCCGCGGUAAUACGGAGGGUGCAAGCGUUAAUCGGAAUUACUGGGCGUAAAGCGCACGCAGGCGGUCUGUCAAGUCGGAUGCGAAAUCCCCGGGCUCAACCUGGGAACUGCAUUCGAAACUGGCAGGCUAGAGUCUUGUAGAGGGGGGUAGAAUUCCAGGUGUAGCGGUGAAAUGCGUAGAGAUCUGGAGGAAUACCGGUGGCGAAGGCGGCCCCCUGGACAAAGACUGACGCUCAGGUGCGAAAGCGUGGGGAGCAAACAGGAUUAGAUACCCUUGUAGUC